GGAGGGUUUGCUCAGUGGUAGAGUGCGUGCCUAGCAUGCACAAGGUCCUGGGCUCAAUCCCCAGUGCCUCCA
rnacentral:tRNA from 1 species